UAGCUAGUGAUCAUCUGAGAAUCAGUAGAAUAAUUAAUUCUCUCUUUCCUUUUCUUUUUACGGUAGGAGAAUGAUUCCGGCUAUAACUUGUAGACAAAUUUUCUUCACCUUCAAUAUUCCCGCUUCAAUUAUCUUUUAUAGUGUCUCUACAUAGUUAAUCAUUCUUUUCACCAUUCCUUUUUGUUGGAGGAGAAGGUAGAAAUUUCUCUCAAUUUCACUGAGUUGGAGCUAGCUACUGUAAAGAUAUGACACCUGGGCCUAACUCUACCCCAAAAGUUAGCUCAUGAGGGGAGGAUUGCCCAAGUCCAUAUAAAGAGACCACCAGUCCAUUCCCCAACCAAUGCGGGACUUUAACCCACUCUAACACCCCCCCUUCAUGCCCAAGCUCAAUUGGAGUGUGGACCGAAAGCCCAAACGAGGAUAGACCUGGCUCUGAUACCAUGUAAAGAUUGGGCCUAACUCAACCCCAAAAGCUAAAUCAUGAGGGGAGGAUUGUCCAAGUCCAUAUAAAGAAACUACCAGUCCAUUCCCAACCAAUGCUUUUACCCAUUCUAACAGCUACAUUAUAUGGAAGUAGCUCCUAACUCUUUCUAAUGUCCUUGCGGGUGUUUGUAGAACAUUGUGCUAUUG
rnacentral:lncRNA from 1 species